rnacentral:rRNA from 2 species
GGGUUUUACGAUGUUCGAUUUGGAGGUUGUGCCCUUGAGGCGUGGCUUCCGAAGCUAACGCGUUAAAUCGACCGCCUGGGGAGUACGGCCGCAAGGUUAAAACUCAAAUGAAUUGACGGGGGCCCGCACAAGCGGUGGAGCAUGUGGUUUAAUUCGAUGCAACGCGAAGAACCUUACCUACUCUUGACAUCCAGCGAAUCCUGUAGAGAUACGGGAGUGCCUUCGGGAACGCUGAGACAGGUGCUGCAUGGCUGUCGUCAGCUCGUGUUGUGAAAUGUUGGGUUAAGUCCCGCAACGAGCGCAACCCUUAUCCUUUGUUGCCAGCGGUUCGGCCGGGAACUCAAAGGAGACUGCCAGUGAUAAACUGGAGGAAGGUGGGGAUGACGUCAAGUCAUCAUGGCCCUUACGAGUAGGGCUACACACGUGCUACAAUGGCGUAUACAAAGAGAAGCGAACUCGCGAGAGCAAGCGGACCUCAUAAAGUACGUCGUAGUCCGGAUUGGAGUCUGCAACUCGACUCCAUGAAGUCGGAAUCGCUAGUAAUCGUGGAUCAGAAUGCCACGGUGAAUACGUUCCCGGGCCUUGUACACACCGCCCGUCACACCAUGGGAGUGGGUUGCAAAAGAAGUAGGUAGCUUAA